GAUGAACGCUAGCGGCAGGCUUAAUACAUGCAAGUCGAGGGGCAGCACAGGUAGCAAUACUGGGUGGCGACCGGCAAACGGGUGCGGAACACGUACACAACUUACCUUAGAGUGGGGGAUAGCCCAGGGAAACUUGGAUUAAUACCCCAUAAAACAGGGGGCCCGCAUGGGCAUAUUGUUAAAGAUUUAUCGCUUUAAGAUGGGUGUGCGUAUGAUUAGGUAGUUGGUAGGGUAAAGGCCUACCAAGCCGACGAUCAUUAACUGGUGUGAGGGCCCGACCAGUCAAACGGGCACUGAGACACGGGCCCGACUCCUACGGGAGGCAGCAGUAAGGAAUAUUGGUCAAUGGACGGAAGUCUGAACCAGCCAUGCCGCGUGAGGGAUGAAGGUCCUCUGGAUUGUAAACUUCUUUUAUAGGGGGCGAAAAAGGGCCUUUUUAGGUCAACUGACGGUACCCUAUGAAUAAGCACCGGCUAACUCCGUGCCAGCAGCCGCCGUAA
rnacentral:rRNA from 1 species